GGAGAAGUCAGCUUUCAUAUCACAAAGACACUCAAGCAGCACUGUGAAGAGGCACAGGUGGUAAAACUGAAGACCUUCACAAACAGCCAGCACUAAUUUGCCAACCAAAUGACGGUCUUUGGAAAACAGAUCCUCUGGCCUCAGGUGAAAAAUGAGAAGAUUAAAUAAGCCAUGGGAAGAUUUUUUAAAAUGACAUGAAACUCCAAGGGUAAAAAGUAGGCUGGGAAAUCUUAGGAUGGUGAACCAUCGUGUUUCCUGAGUGUGAAUCCUGUACCUGGUUUGACUGUAGUCACCCCUUCUCCAACACUCUCCACGAUGCCGGCUGCCUCAUGGCCUAAAAUCACAGGAAGUGGGGUCACCAUGGUACCACUAACCACGUGGUCAUCUGUGCCACAGAUUCCUACAGCCACCAUCUACAGAGUGAAGAGAAGAUGUUUAUGAAAGAUUAUGAGUCUCAGGAUGUUCAACAUGAUCAAUGCCAAAAUAAAUAUCAGAAUACUUGGAAGUAAAGUACUAAUAGUAGGAGUUCCUGAUUAUCAGGUGCCUAUGAUGUGACAGGCACAUUGUGGCCUGUGCUCGACCAGGAGACUGGUGAGUCCUUGUGGAUUUCUUCCCUGCUCAAGUGCAUAAAGCAGGUGUAUUGCACAGGCACUGCACAGGCAGCUGUUUAAUCA
rnacentral:lncRNA from 1 species